CCUACCAACUCACCAACUCACGCAUAGUCUUCUCCUCCCUCUCCCCUCUCCGCGAAUCUCUCCUUCGAACUCCUCUCCGUCCAACCUCUCUUCCACAAACCCCUCUCCACGAAUCUCUCCUCCGAACACCUUCAAACAGUGAGGUUUUUUAGCACCAGUCGCGCCUUGCCUUGAAAGCCUUCACUGCCGCUCGAAGCGAGCAGUAGUACGAUGUCGAUCUCAACCUCUACGUGUCUCCACCUUGUCCAGGUGCGGAUCGCGGCAGGAGAUCGAUACGUUGGUUGCUGAUCUAAUGGAGGAGGGAUGACUCUCCACGGAGACCUCCAAGGGGGUUCCCUAAUGGCCGAUUGAUGGUGAGGAGGAGAGCUAAUCGGCGAGCCGAUCAGCGGUGGUGUAGAAGGUCAAGAUUGGAUUUUACUUCGCCACGUGGUGAGCGUUGAACGUGGUGUUCAACAUCUACAACAAGAAGGUUCUUAACGCCUUCCCCUACCCUUGGCUGACCUCCACACUCCCCCUUGCUGCCAGCUAGCUCCCUCAUGUUUUAGGUCAAGUUUGAUUUAACCUCUUCAAAGAACAUGUUGAAAUGACAAAAAAGAUUUGUGGCAAUGCAAAUGUCCGUUACGCAUGGCUUGCUUCCUCCAAGGAUGCGGUGGAUGAGAUGAUGUCUCAUGGGGUUCUGAAGCAACCUGUGCAAAAAUGACUUUAUGGAAAUGGACUUCAUCUUGCCCUUACAAAUUGCUCUGAUAUCUGCAUUGCGUAAGCUUUGUGAAGAUGCUUCGACAGUUAUGCAGGAUCUAUAAAAUCUUGAAGUUUUGAUCUGGAUAGGCGAGGACUUGGAGAAAUGGAAUCUUUCAUAUGAAGAGGAAGAGGAAAUUGUUAGUGCAAUAACUCUUACACUCAAUACAAUUGUUAACAAGGAGUUGAAGAAGAGUUCACUGUCUAGAUUACUUUCUUCUAGCUACAAAGCCAUUGAGAAACUUGUAUGCUAUUUAGCUUGCAUUUUUAAAUUGUAAAGAAAGUGAAUCUCAUGCUUUCUAGAAUUCUAGUUCAUCUGACAGCAUUUUUAAAUUACAAGUACCUCUCAAUGAUUAUGUAGGUUGUUUAGUAGAAGAUCGAUGUUGAGGAAUUAUUAUACAUGAUCACAUGGAUAAUUACACACUUUAUGAUAUCUAUAUUAUAUAUAAUAUUGUCAAUAUUGGUUACAUUGCUGUGACAUCCAUCGUUUAUAUAUUGUUUAUACUUUACAGACGUUACACAGGAAAUUUUGUUUUUUUUUGUUGAUUGUUGACUAAAUUUUCCUAAUUUUCUUUAACGUACGAAAAUUUCUUUUGCAUAAUACUGAUGGUAUUGUUUUCUGUGACAGAUACAUAGUGGUAGGUGUUUUGUCUCAGUCUCAAGCCGUCAAUCCAUUUUGAUCAAUAUAUCUCAGUCUCAAGCCUUCGAGGCCGGCUAGCUAUUUUGUGCUUUUUUUUUGUUUUAAAUUUGAAUGUCACUAACUACUUUGAAACAUAAAUAUUUAGUCUUUGUGUAUAGUUGAAUUCUCCUGUAAAUACUAAUACUUUGUAGUUGAAUUCUAUUGUUUGGUACGAGUUUGAAAUCAUUAGCUGAGCUAAUUAAUGCUA